rnacentral:rRNA from 1 species
AGAGUUUGAUUCUGGCUCAGAUUGAACGCUAGCGGGAUGCUUUACACAUGCAAGUCGAACGGCAGCACGAGAGAGCUUGCUCUCUUGGUGGCGAGUGGCGGACGGGUGAGUAAUAUAUCGGAACGUGCCCAGUAGCGGGGGAUAACUACUCGAAAGAGUGGCUAAUACCGCAUACGCCCUACGGGGGAAAGGGGGGGAUUCUUCGGAACCUCUCACUAUUGGAGCGGCCGAUAUCGGAUUAGCUAGUUGGUGGGGUAAAGGCUCACCAAGGCAACGAUCCGUAGCUGGUUUGAGAGGACGACCAGCCACACUGGGACUGAGACACGGCCCAGACUCCUACGGGAGGCAGCAGUGGGGAAUUUUGGACAAUGGGGGAAACCCUGAUCCAGCCAUCCCGCGUGUAUGAUGAAGGCCUUCGGGUUGUAAAGUACUUUUGGCAGAGAAGAAAAGGUACCUCCUAAUACGAGGUACUGCUGACGGUAUCUGCAGAAUAAGCACCGGCUAACUACGUGCCAGCAGCCGCGGUAAUACGUAGGGUGCAAGCGUUAAUCGGAAUUACUGGGCGUAAAGCGUGUGUAGGCGGUUCGGAAAGAAAGAUGUGAAAUCCCAGGGCUCAACCUUGGAACUGCAUUUUUAACUGCCGAGCUAGAGUAUGUCAGAGGGGGGUAGAAUUCCACGUGUAGCAGUGAAAUGCGUAGAUAUGUGGAGGAAUACCGAUGGCGAAGGCAGCCCCCUGGGAUAAUACUGACGCUCAGACACGAAAGCGUGGGGAGCAAACAGGAUUAGAUACCCUGGUAGUCCACGCCCUAAACGAUGUCAACUAGCUGUUGGGGCCGUUAGGCCUUAGUAGCGCAGCUAACGCGUGAAGUUGACCGCCUGGGGAGUACGGUCGCAAGAUUAAAACUCAAAGGAAUUGACGGGGACCCGCACAAGCGGUGGAUGAUGUGGAUUAAUUCGAUGCAACGCGAAAAACCUUACCUACCCUUGACAUGUCUGGAAUCCCGAAGAGAUUUGGGAGUGCUCGCAAGAGAACCGGAACACAGGUGCUGCAUGGCUGUCGUCAGCUCGUGUCGUGAGAUGUUGGGUUAAGUCCCGCAACGAGCGCAACCCUUGUCAUUAGUUGCUACGCAAGAGCACUCUAAUGAGACUGCCGGUGACAAACCGGAGGAAGGUGGGGAUGACGUCAAGUCCUCAUGGCCCUUAUGGGUAGGGCUUCACACGUCAUACAAUGGUCGGGACAGAGGGUCGCCAACCCGCGAGGGGGAGCCAAUCUCAGAAACCCGAUCGUAGUCCGGAUCGCAGUCUGCAACUCGACUGCGUGAAGUCGGAAUCGCUAGUAAUCGCGGAUCAGAAUGUCGCGGUGAAUACGUUCCCGGGUCUUGUACACACCGCCCGUCACACCAUGGGAGUGGGUUUCACCAGAAGUAGGUAGCCUAACCGUAAGGAGGGCGCUUACCACGGUGGGAUUCAUGACUGGGGUGAAGUCGUAACAAGGUAGCC